UUUUAUCACAGCAACAGGAAGUAACUGACACAAACGCCCAUAAAGAUGAAAAAGGUCUUGUGUGGAGCAGCGCUGUAUGCUCAUCCCUUCAUCAGAGUCAGCUGGAUUUUGCAAGGGAGGAAAGGAUCUACAUCUUCAAACCCUCCAGCCUGAGCUAGGCUCCCAGGACCCCACCCUCCUUCGCUCACACUUGCACGCGCAGGACCAGAGCCUGUGGGCCCUGGUGUACAUCUCCCGCCGAUGCAGAAUCUGCAAAUAGACGCCUCCUUCCACAACAUACCUCUCCACAAAGCCAACCCACUGAAACGGAGCUCAUUAUCUCCAGACAUCGCUGCGGCCAAAGGGCAGGCUAUGAUGCAGAGCAUCAUGGGAUGGCAGCCUUCAGUGGACAAUGACUUCGUGGUGGUCAGCAAGCCAAGAAGAAAAAUAGACUGAGACACACCUGGGUGUACCUUAUCAACUUUCUAGGUGCUUUUAAGUACCGUCACGUUGACAGUAGAGAUUACCUACUGUAGUUAGACUUCUUGCCUCUGGUCCCAGACAGAAGAAGAUGAGCAAAAGACCCGGGUUGCCAGAAGAAUGUAAGUCAGCCUCGAAGACUGAGAAGGCAGAGUCACUACAUGGGCACCGGCACAGACCCUCCUGGCCCCUUGAGGUGAGUGCUGCUUCGUUGUGGAGCCUCGAAUGACUGUGGAGAAGAGAGUACCUAUCCGCACGAGUUGACCUCCAACCUGUCUCAAAAUGACGGGUCGAAGAUGAGUCUGUGCUCUGUCUCAAGUGACAGCCGUCCCACCAACGUAUUGUUCCCUGUCUUCAGAUAUUUGGACUCUACGAAGUACAGAGGCAGCGCAGAUUUUUAUCCUUGUGCAGAUUCUUCAAAAUGAACACAAGGUUACAUAACCCAAGAUGCACAGAGAAAUGUGCAGUGUGAUGGAGUUUCCAGGACACAGGCUGCAGACCAGUGAAUGGCCGACAUCAGCUGGCUUGGAGGGAGGUGCGCUGGAAUCUCCUGCAGUUCCUGACGGAAGUGGGCUGUUUCCACGGUUUAGAACCGCUCACAACGUGAGCUACUUUUUUUAGUCUUUUCAAGACAGAAGCUUGGGUCAAAGUCUUAUUCAUCUGUGGCAGAGGGUAAUAAAAACAGGAAGUCUGG
rnacentral:lncRNA from 1 species